rnacentral:piRNA from 1 species
CAGUCACUAGAGACAAGGAUGAAAAAAGA